AUUUUCAUUAUAGAAGGUGGGGGAGGGGUGGAGAAUAAGCAAAGCCAAAGGGAAAAAACCCUGCUAUCCUACCACCCCAAAGUGAUGCUGCUAACGUUUUAUUUUAGAUCCUCCAAUGAGCAUAUGAGGAAAGUCAUGGAAGCUGGACAUCAUUGUAAGCUGGACAUCACUGGACAGGAUCAGACUCUGUAUUUGUAUUUACCUAUUCAUGCAUCCCUGCACUCUGAUUAAAUCCUCAGACUUGAUGUGCAGUCAUUUUCAUUGCUCUGGGUUUUCAGCUAAUGCCCAACCACAAGUAGGUAGGAGGUGAGGGUAGAGAUGAAUUGGAGAAUGUAGUUCUCCUAAGGUGGCCUGAAGGCCCAGGAGGGUGACAAAG
rnacentral:lncRNA from 1 species